rnacentral:rRNA from 1 species
UACGUAGGGUGCGAGCGUUGUCCGGAAUUAUUGGGCGUAAAGAGCUCGUAGGCGGUGUGUCACGUCGGCCGUGAAAACUUGGGGCUUAACUCUGAGCGUGCGGUCGAUACGGGCAUCACUUGAGUUCGGCAGGGGAGACUGGAAUUCCUGGUGUAGCGGUGAAAUGCGCAGAUAUCAGGAGGAACACCAGUGGCGAAGGCGGUGCUCUGGGCCGGAACUGACGCUGAGGAGCGAAAGCGUGGGGAGCAAACAGG